CCUACGGGAGGCUGCAGUGAGGAAUAUUGGUCAAUGGACGAGAGUCUGAACCAGCCAAGUAGCGUGAAGGAUGACUGCCCUAUGGGUUGUAAACUUCUUUUAUAUGGGAAUAAAACGUUCCACGUGUGGGAUUUUGUAUGUACCAUAUGAAUAAGGAUCGGCUAACUCCGUGCCAGCAGCCGCGGUAAUACGGAGGAUCCGAGCGUUAUCCGGAUUUAUUGGGUGUAAAGGGAGCGUAGGUGGAUUGUUAAGUCAGUUGUGAAAGUUUGCGGCUCAACCGUAAAAUUGCAGUUGAAACUGGCAGUCUUGAGUACAGUAGAGGUGGGCGGAAUUCGUGGUGUAGCGGUGAAAUGCUUAGAUAUCACGAAGAACUCCGAUUGCGAAGGCAGUUCACUGGACUGCAACUGACACUGAGGCUCGAAAGUGUGGGUAUCAAACAGGAUUAGAUACCCUAGUAGUC
rnacentral:rRNA from 1 species